ACGCUCGACACCUACGGGAUGCAGCAGUGGGGAAUAUUGCACAAUGGGGGAAACCCUGAUGCAGCAACGCCGCGUGAGUGAAGAAGUAUUUCGGUAUGUAAAGCUCUAUCAGCAGGGAAGAUAAUGACGGUACCUGACUAAGAAGCUCCGGCUAAAUACGUGCCAGCAGCCGCGGUAAUCUGAGCGGGCUGGCAAGGC
rnacentral:rRNA from 1 species